rnacentral:rRNA from 1 species
GUUGUAUAUUUAAGUGACUAAGCGUACAAGGUGGAUGCCUUGGCAAUCAGAGGCGAAGAAGGACGUGCUAAUCUGCGAAAAGCUUGGAUGAGUCGAUAAGAGGCGUUUAAUCCAAGAUAUCCGAAUGGGGAAACCCAGUAGAUGAAGAAUCUACUAUCAACAAGUGAAUUCAUAGCUUGUUGAGGCAAACCGGGAGAACUGAAACAUCUAAGUACCCCGAGGAAAAGAAAUCAACCGAGAUUUCGUCAGUAGCGGCGAGCGAAAGCGAAAGAGCCAGUAAGUGAUAGCAGUAUAGUGAGGAGAAUGUGUUGGGAAGCACAAUCAAAGAGGGUGAUAAUCCCGUAUCUAAAAACCAUAUUGUGGUACUAAGCUAACGAGAAGUAGGGCGGGACACGUGAUAUCCUGUUUGAAGAAGGGGGGACCAUCCUCCAAGGCUAAAUACUCCUGAUUGACCGAUAGUGAACCAGUACUGUGAAGGAAAGGCGAAAAGAACCCCGGUGAGGGGAGUGAAAUAGAACCUGAAACCUUGUACGUACAAGCAGUGGGAGCCCCAUCACUUAAUCCGAUUGGAAGGUGAUGAAAAGCAACCGCACUUAAACAAUGGUAAGAGGAGCGAAGCGAGUCAAACCACCCAAAAGAAGCAGUGGGAUUAAGUGAUGGGGUGACUGCGUACCUUUUGUAUAAUGGGUCAGCGACUUAUAUUUUGUAGCGAGGUUAACCGAAUAGGGGAGCCGAAGGGAAACCGAGUCUUAACUGGGCGAAUAGUUGCAAGGUAUAGACCCGAAACCCGGUGAUCUAGCCAUGGGCAGGUUGAAGGUUGGGUAACACUAACUGGAGGACCGAACCGACUAAUGUUGAAAAAUUAGCGGAUGACUUGUGGCUGGGGGUGAAAGGCCAAUCAAACCGGGAGAUAGCUGGUUCUCCCCGAAAUCUAUUUAGGUAGAGCCUUGAGGUGACACCUUUGGGGGUAGAGCACUGUUUCGGCUAGGGGGCCAUCCCGGCUUACCAACCCGAUGCAAACUACGAAUACCAAAGAGUGAUACUCAGGAGACACACGGCGGGUGCUAACGUCCGUCGUGGAGAGGGAAACAACCCAGACCGCCAGCUAAGGUCCCCAAGUCUAUAUUAAGUGGGAAACGAAGUGGGAAGGCUUAGACAGCUAGGAUGUUGGCUUAGAAGCAGCCAUCAUUUAAAGAAAGCGUAAUAGCUCACUAGUCGAGUCGGCCUGCGCGGAAGAUGUAACGGGGCUGAAAUAUAGCACCGAAGCUGCGGCAUCAGNNGAGAGGUGGGCUGGACGUAUCACAAGUGCGAAUGCUGACAUAAGUAACGAUAAAACGGGUGAAAAACCCGUUCGCCGGAAGACCAAGGGUUCCUGUCCAACGUUAAUCGGGGCAGGGUGAGUCGGCUCCUAAGGCGAGGCUGAAAAGCGUAGUCGAUGGGAAACAGGUUAAUAUUCCUGUACUUGGUAAAGCUGCGAUGUGGGGACGGAGUAGGUUAGGUUAUCGCACUGUUGGAUAUGUGCGUUUAAGUUGGUAGGUGGGAAGUUUAGGCAAAUCCGGGCUUCCUUAACACAGAGAGAUGAUGACGAGGCUCUACGGAGCUGAAGUAACUAAUACCACACUUCCAGGAAAAGCCACUAAGCGAAAGGCUUUACUAAACCGUACUGAAAACCGACACAGGUGGUCAGGUAGAGAAUACUCAGGCGCUUGAGAGAACUCGGGUGAAGGAACUAGGCAAAAUAGCACCGUAACUUCGGGAGAAGGUGCGCCGGCGUAGAUUGUAAGGGCUAGCCCCUGAAGGUUGAACCGGUCGAAGAUACCAGCUGGCUGCAACUGUUUAUUAAAAACACAGCACUCUGCAAACACGAAAGUGGACGUAUAGGGUGUGAUGCCUGCCCGGUGCUGGAAGGUUAAUUGAUGGUGUAAUCGCAAGAGAAGCACCUGAUCGAAGCCCCAGUAAACGGCGGCCGUAACUAUAACGGUCCUAAGGUAGCGAAAUUCCUUGUCGGGUAAGUUCCGACCUGCACGAAUGGCAUAAUGAUGGCCAGGCUGUCUCCACCCGAGACUCAGUGAAAUUGAAAUCGCCGUGAAGAUGCGGUGUACCCGCGGCUAGACGGAAAGACCCCGUGAACCUUUACUAUAGCUUGACACUGAACAUUGAAUUUUGAUGUGUAGGAUAGGUGGGAGACUUAGAAGUAGUCACGCCAGUGAUUAUGGAGUCGACCUUGAAAUACCACCCUUUAACGUUUGAUGUUCUAACGAAGAUGACGAAACGUGGUCUCGGACAGUGUCUGGUGGGUAGUUUGACUGGGGCGGUCUCCUCCCAAAGCGUAACGGAGGAGCACGAAGGUUUGCUAAUCACGGUCGGACAUCGUGAGGUUAGUGCAAUGGUAUAAGCAAGCUUAACUGCGAGACAGACAAGUCGAGCAGGUACGAAAGUAGGUCAUAGUGAUCCGGUGGUUCUGAAUGGAAGGGCCAUCGCUCAACGGAUAAAAGGUACUCCGGGGAUAACAGGCUGAUACCGCCCAAGAGUUCAUAUCGACGGCGGUGUUUGGCACCUCGAUGUCGGCUCAUCACAUCCUGGGGCUGAAGUAGGUCCCAAGGGUAUGGCUGUUCGCCAUUUAAAGUGGUACGCGAGCUGGGUUUAGAACGUCGUGAGACAGUUCGGUCCCUAUCUGCCGUGGGCGUAGGAGAAUUGGUUGGGGCUGCUCCUAGUACGAGAGGACCGGAGUGGACGCACCACUGGUGUUCCGGUUGUGUCGCCAGACGCAUUGCCGGGUAGCUAAGUGCGGAAGAGAUAAGUGCUGAAAGCAUCUAAGCACGAAACUUGCCAAGAGAUGAGUUCUCCCAAUCUAAGAGAUAGUAAGGGUUGUUGUAGACUACGACGUAGAUAGGUCUCGUGUGUAAGUGUAGUGAUAAAUUGAGCUAACAGAUACUAAUUGCCCGAGAG